rnacentral:lncRNA from 1 species
GGCAGAGACGAAUAUUGUCAAGUUGUAAAUGAUGAUUUGUUAUACAGUCAUACUAUGUGAGUUUGAGUUUAUGAUUUUUUUUUUUUGUUGAGUCUCCCUUGCUAGGUGUUCUUCAUUUCUGGUCGAUUUGACUACAUUGGUCUAUUUUAGGCAGAUAUGGUUUCUUUGAAUUUCCUCAUCAAGAGCCCCCUAUUUGCUUUGCUUGAAAUCAAAUUUUUAUUCGCUAAGCAACAUCGACGAGUGAGAUAAAGCAUGGAGGAAGAACAGAGCCUGUGUUGGAAUCUGACUGGAUUAUGAAAUUGGUUGUUUUCUGAAGCAGAUCUAGGCUGCACCGCUUGAAGGAGUGAAGCAUUAAGAACGUUGAAGAAGAUCGAAGCAGUGAUUCAUCAGCUAUAUGAAUAUAACAUAGCUCAUCAGAUAUGGUUUCUUUCAAUUUCCUCAUCAAGAGCCCCCUAUUUGCUUUGCUUGACAUCAAAUUUUUAUUCGCUAAGCAACAUCGACAGGUGAGCUAAAGCAUGGAGGAAGAGCAGAGCCAGUGUUGGAAUCUGACUAGAUUAUGAAAUUGGUUGUUUUCUGAAUCAGAUCUAGGCCACACCACUUGAAGCAAUGAAGCGUUAAGAACGAUGAAGAAGAUUGAAGCAGUGAUUCAUCAGCUAUAUGAAUAUAUCAUAGCAUGUCUAUGUAGCAUGUAUUAUAGUAUGACUAUAUGAAUAGACUAUACUAUUUUGCAAUUUGCUUGAACUUCUUUUUCUCUGGUAUUAAGAUUACUUUGCUAUUUGUUAUUUCCUUGAGAUUAAUAGAUAAUAUUUUGCUAUUUGAUUGAAACAAUCAAAUUCUCUUUUCUUUUGGUAUGAAAUGUGUAUAUUUCGUUGGAA